rnacentral:rRNA from 1 species
CCAAUACAGGGAGGCAGCAGGCGCGCAAUUACCCAAUCCUGACUCAGGGAGGUAGUGACAAGAAAUAACAAUAAACCGGCUUAUGCCGGUUUAAUUGGAAUGAGUACAAUUUAAACAUCUUAACGAGGAACAAUUGGAGGGCAAGUCUGGUGCCAGCAGCCGCGGUAAUUCCAGCUCCAAUAGCGUAUACUAAAGUUGUUGCAGUUAAAAAGCUCGUAGUUGGAUUUCUGUGGGGACGGAGCGGCCGGCCGCACAUCGCGGUUCGAGCUAGCGCUUUCCCUACAUCCUGCCGCGAACCGUGCUACCAUUAGUUUGGUGGCGCCGGGGAUCGGCUCGAUUACUUUGAGAAAAAUAGAGUGUUCAAAGCAGGCCACAUGCCUUGAAUAAGUUAGCAUGGAAUAAUAACUAAGGACUUCGGUUCUAUUUUGUUGGUGUUCGGGACUGAAGUAAUGAUUGAUAGGGACAGUUGGGGCGGUCUGUAUUCCAAAGCGAGAGGUGAAAUUCUUAGACCUUCGGAAGACAAACAGCUGCGAAAGCGUUCCGCAAGGAUGUUCCCUUUGAUCAAGAACGAAAGUUGGGGGAUCGAAGACGAUCAGAUACCGUCGUAGUCUCAACUAUAAACUAUACCAGCUAGGGAUCGGCCAACGUUAUUUUAUACCGACUUGGUCGGCACCUUAUGAGAAAUCAAAGCAUCUGGGUUCCGGGGGGAGUAUGGUCGCAAGGCUGAAACUUAAAGGAAUUGACGGAAGGGCACCACCAGCCGUGGAGCCUGUGGCUUAAUUUGACUCAACACGGGAAAACUUACCAGGUCCAGACAUAGUAAGGAUUGACAGAUUGAUAGCUCUUUCUUGAUUCUGUGGGUGGUGGUGCAUGGCCGUUCUUAGUUGGUGGAGUGAUUUGUCUGGUUAAUUCCGUUAACGAACGAGACCCCAGCCUGCUAAAUAGCGCGCGUGAGCUUUGCUCGCGGCGAGCUUCUUAGAGGGACUAUGAUGCGCGAUAGCACAUGGAAGUUUGGGGCAAUAACAGGUCUGUGAUGCCCUUAGAUGUUCUGGGCCGCACACGGGCUACACUGGCGCCUGCAACGAGCAUAUCAGCUGGCCCGAGAGGGUCUUGGCUAAUCUUUUGAACCGGCGCCGUGCUUGGGAUUGACCUUUGCAAUUGUUGGUCAUGCAACGAGGAAUGCCUUGUAAACGCGAGUCAUCAGCUCGCAUUGAAUACGUCCCUGCCCUUUGUACACACCGCCCGUCGCUCCUACCGAUGAAUGUUCCGAUGAAAUUUUCGGAGAGCACCUGUGAACUUGGCUCCGCCUUGCGAACGGGAGGCUCAAAGUCACUAAAUCUGAACAUUGAA